UCCUCGGUAGCUCAGUGGUAGAGCGGAUGGCUGUUAACCAUUAGGUCGGGGGUUCAAAUCCCUCCCGAGGAG
rnacentral:tRNA from 1 species